CAAGUAUCCAGUCUUGUCCCCCUCAAGACAUGCCUCAAGACAUUUAGCCAUGUUCUUCACUGGGACCUGGCAGGAGAACAGAAAUCAGACUGAUGGAACAGCCUAGCCCAGGAUUGGGAAUGCAAAGGGAAGUGCUGAGGGAGAACCCAGAAACCCUUCAAAGUCCUCUCCUGCUAUUGUUACACACUGAAAAUGUGAAGUCUGCACCACACACCCUUUGCAAAGACAUCCUGAAGCUCAGUGUCCAGCUGAGCUCUUCCUUGGCUCAGCUGCUUCCCUGGGCUCACUUCACAGGGACAGCUCACCAAGCUCUGCCGGCAGCACAUCGACUGAAAAUCUCCCACACAGGACAUAGCUUGGUCUCCUUACCUUACACCUUUUUCCUUUUGACUUCAGCUCCUCUCUUUCUCUGGUGUCUUCAUCGUAGGAGCAUAGAAGGAGAUCGCCGGAAAGAUUUGGAAAAAAUGAACCUAGUCAGCCCUGCAAAGAAGAAAAAAAAAAAAAUGUAAAUGAGGUGGUAAAGCAAAUCUAAAGCAUCUGGAGCUCCAUAUUUUGUGGGAGAGACUUCCUGAAAACUCCUAAAUAGCUGCACAAGUUGACAUUUCCAGGCAUGAAGACCCUUGAAGCACUCCAGAGGAAAAGCCCUGUCCCGCUUGCACAGAGCUCCCACAGGAACAGCCUGGCCUCUGGGCUGGCCUGGGACAGCAGGGAGCCCAGAGCCCUGGACUUUGCAGCCAUGGCUCAGCUGCACAUGCAGCCUCCUGCUCCUGUCCCUGCCCCACAGCUGAGCAGCCCUACAGCUGCACGGGGCACUGGCAGCAGCACAGCUCAUUGCAGGGGGCACAUGCAGGGCAGAACUGUUCCCUGGGGAUGUGCACAGGCUCUCUAGGCUGGCACAAGACCCUUCUUCCUGCCAGAGAGCAGCCCAGCUCCCACCUUACCUCAUGGCUGAGGCAUGCUCAAAAGGGAAGAAGUGAGUUAGGUGAACUCCCACCUUUACAAUCAAUCCAUCUAAUGCAUGAACCAUCCAGGAGGUUUUUGAAUUAUUCCAAAGAUCGCUUUGUUUUUUAUUUUUUAUGAAACUAGCAUCACUAGAAUUCCUCUGAACUGUAUAGACUGGCAAGCCAGGAGACACAGCUUCUACUACUUUGCUUAUGUGUUGCUCACUGCCCAUCCACUACUUUGGGAACUCUUUCCUUCCUCCAAAGAGUUGCCAGACACAGUGGUCUCCAGAAUUUGACAACUACACCUAGGAAGUCAUUGCUUUCCAAAGCUCGUUUUCAUGGCUUUUGUUUCUGUAACUCCCACUCAGUUCAGGGUGGGGUUUUGUUGGUUGCUUUUAUUUCUCUUCACAACUAAGGAGGUGCUGGCACAUGAACAAUGGCAUCCCAUGUUAGAAGUGAAUGAACAUUUGUAC
rnacentral:lncRNA from 1 species